rnacentral:rRNA from 1 species
AGUGAACGCUGGCGGUAGGCCUAACACAUGCAAGUCGAACGGCAGCACAGUAAGAGCUUGCUCUUACGGGUGGCGAGUGGCGGACGGGUGAGGAAUACAUCGGAAUCUACUUUUUCGUGGGGGAUAACGUAGGGAAACUUACGCUAAUACCGCAUACGACCUACGGGUGAAAGCAGGGGAUCUUCGGACCUUGCGCGAUUCAAUGAGCCGAUGUCGGAUUAGCUAGUUGGCGGGGUAAAGGCCCACCAAGGCGACGAUCCGUAGCUGGUCUGAGAGGAUGAUCAGCCACACUGGAACUGAGACACGGUCCAGACUCCUACGGGAGGCAGCAGUGGGGAAUAUUGGACAAUGGGCGCAAGCCUGAUCCAGCAAUACCGCGUGGGUGAAGAAGGCCUUCGGGUUGUAAAGCCCUUUUGUUGGGAAAGAAAAGCAGCAGGUUAAUACCCCGCUGUUCUGACGGUACCCAAAGAAUAAGCACCGGCUAACUUCGUG